rnacentral:misc_RNA from 1 species
UUUUAGAGGACUCUUAAAAGUUUACUGUGUAAAGAGGCAUUCGAUUAAUUAGAUAUGUUGCAAUAAGAACAAUAUCCCCUCAAUAUGAUGUGGGAAGGUUCAUUGUAAAUAUGAGUGAUCGAGCCAUUUCAAGUAAAUGCCUAUUUUUCCUUUCAGAUACUCCAUUUUGUGCACUUGUAUUCACACAAUUAAUUUGAUAGAGGAUUUCAUGAGACUCUAAAUAAGACUGAAAGACUUUGUUCAUAUACUUUGUCCCAUUGUCGGUUCUUAGAAUUUUGACCUAUGCAUUAAACUGGGUGUAAAUUAUUUAUGAAAU